rnacentral:rRNA from 1 species
UACGAAGGGGGCUAGCGUUGCUCGGAAUUACUGGGCGUAAAGCGCACGUAGGCGGCUUUCUAAGUCAGGGGUGAAAUCCGGCAGCUCAACUGUCGCAGUGCCUUUGAUACUGGAGAGCUCGAGGGAGGUAGGGGUCUGUGGAACUUCCGGUGGAGCGGUGAAAUGCGUUGAUAUCGGAAGGAACGCCGGUGGCGAAAGCGACGGACUGGAUCUCUUCUGACGCUGAGGCGCGAAAGCCAGGGGAGCAAACGGG